ensembl:snoRNA SNORA70 Small nucleolar RNA SNORA70
UAGGAUUACGGCUCCUGCCACAACAAACAGCAGCCUCCUUGGUAGUGUAUGCAGCCUGUUGCUUGUAUAGUUUAUGCUAAGGGACCUUGGAGACAGUC